GUCGCUCGUAGGAAGCCCAGCCGCCGCCCCGUCCCCGCGUUCUCUCACGCUCCACCCCGACGCCCCUUCUCCACCCCUCUCGCCACGGCACCGUCCGCUUCCGCGCGCCUCUGCCGUCUCCUCCUUCUCCCCGGUGGCUGCCUCCAUCUCCUCCGUGUCACCAUCUGACCCAGACACGGUCGCAGUCCGCCGGCGCCGCAGGCGGAGGAGGCGCGGCUAGGAUCGAGGAGCACGAGCCAUCGCCGCCACCUACCCAUCGGCGCUGUGAACGAAGCGACAAGAGAGGGAGGUCGUCGUCGGCCUUCUAAAUCCCGCUUUUCCCCCGUCACUCCCCCUCGCGCCGUCCCCGCCUCGUUCCCCUGCCACCUCUCAUAGUGCCAUCGCCGCCCCAUCUCCUCCCACACUUCUGAUCUCCGAGCUCGAGAUGCAGAGGCGCGCCGGUGCUCGACCAGAUCAACACGGUUGGUCCGCUAUUUGCAGGUGAUCGUUGGUCUGGCCGGUUCAUUAUUUGAUUUGUGCCAGCUUGCUACUCUUCGUCCACAACUUUGCAGGUCGACCUCUUUUCUUCUCCCCUUCUCUGCUUUUAGGCUAGGCUUGAAUUUUUGCAGCCAUGUAUUUUCCUUAGAUUGCCUGUGUAGAGCUGCUAUUAGAUUCGGUUUAUUUUUGCCUGUCGUUUCUGUUGGUGUGCAUCCUGGUCAAUGGGUGUGUUUGUUUCUUGUACUCCUAUAUUGGUAGAUGGCUAGAGUAUAAGAAUAUUAUUCCCUGCUUGUAUUUUUGUGGUCUCCUUUUCGUCUGAGCUUGUUUUUUGUGUGUGGAAUAUAGGUAUGUGUUUUUUGUUCCUUCCUUGGAUCCUGGUAGAUUUUUUGUACCUUUCUGCUAUGUCCUAGAAGUAACCUACUGAUUUGUUUGCUGGUGCUACUCGCAUGUGUCAUGUUGUUGGGUUCUUCCUUACAUGGGCGAUUCCGAGCGAUCUCUGCUUCACCUCCGCCGCCGGUGGCCGCGCUGGUCAUGCUCCCGCUGCAGAUUCUUAGGUAGCUAUGUUCCAAAGGAGGACAUUUUGGGGGCUUUCUUGUUUUGUUGGUGCCAUGCCGUCAAGUAGAUCCUUGGAUUUAGCUAGGACAACUUGUGUGUGCCUCUCAGAUUCCUACAGAAGAAAUGAUACCUUUUCUUUUCUAUUGGAUGGACAACAACAUAACCACAACAAUAGGUCUAUCAGGUAAUUGGCCAUCUGUCUUUAUCCAUGUGUAGUUAGAACUUAUAUGUCAGAUUGUGCUAUCAAGUCAAGUUUUUGAUUUAUACUCUUGCAUCUAAAUAAUGGGGAAACCUGUUUUCUCAAAUUUUGCACUUUAGACAUGGAAUUUUUAGGGAAAUUUGUGAAUAGUUAAAUAAAUUCGAGCAUUUGAUUCACUGCAUGUGCGUGGUGGUCGAGCACGGUAGCGCUUAUGGGUGCCGUCUCCGUCGACUGGAGAAGCACAGGUCGCGGCUCACGCCGCUGCUCUAUUGGGGUCAUCAGCCGUCGUGCUUGCGUUGCGCAUACGCUCAGUGAACCAACCGAGUCGUGGAUGCAGUGAGCGUUGGGUGCUGUGUCCGUCGGCCAAGCAGCAAGCCGGAGCUGCAAGUCGUUGAACAUGGGGUGCUACUGUGAGGAUCUCAUGUCUCUCACUCUAUGUGUAUUAGUAGACCAUUUCCUUUCUGAAUAUGAGCUAUGCUAUGGAUCUUGGGAGCAGGUCAUCCUUAGUUUGCUUACAGUGGAGUAGUGGCGGAGAGGUGGAACUGGGAGUGGAGGUCAACAUAUUAAACGCACGCAAGAACUCAUCUCUAUGUACAAGUUCUCGGCAGAUCUGGCCUCCAGAGCAAACGAAACGGACGGCCAGAUCUCCUUGUUGGAGGAGGGGGAUGGAGGGAUGGAGAAGCUCUCAUCGUGGAGGGCGGUGUGUACGACGCCUGCGACCACGCCUGCAACAUCUGCCUCGAGGCCUUCUGCGACAGUGACUCCUCCACGGCUACAAGCUGCAAGCAUGAUUUGCAUCUCCGGUGCAUCCUUGAGUGGUGAGGACCAUGCUUUCUUGCCUUUGCAAUUUCCCCAAAAGUUAUGUAACCAUUCGACAAGAUCUGUGGCUCCAUCCCAUGGAUGUUCAGGCUAUGGCAGGAGGGGCAGCACCGGCUGAGAGGUGCUACUGCUGGACCAUGACCACGGCGCCACCAAGCAGUCCCUCCUCUUCGCCUCCCACGACAAAGAUUAUCUGAUAGAAGCAAUAAUCCGUAGAAGAAACUAUAUGUUUUGAGGAGGCGGAGUCAAGCGCGAGAGCAUGAGGUGUAUGCACCUAGUGGCUUUCUUCAUACAAGCACAAGAGCAUAAGGAUCAUGGCAUGUAAGGAGUCGAGCAACGAGAUGACCCAGUCAAACUAUCAAGUAGUAUUAGACAUUGGCAUAACUAAGUACGCUAUUUAUCUCGCAAUGUCUUGCUGGCUCGCUUGAGCUAUGUCAUGACCCAACUGUUGUAUCUAUUUAGUUGUGAUCCAUUGUAUUGGCUUACUUUUGGACUAUGCUUUGGUUAUAGCGCAACUACUUAGGUUAUUUAUCUCGCACCUCUCCAGUGGCUUCAUUUGUCUAUAUAAUGACUCGAAAUUAUGUGUCUACUAUGUGA